ensembl:lncRNA
CUAUGAAGCAUUAUGGAGCAUUAUAACAGGGGAGGACUCAUUCUCUUCUGUGACUACGUGGUGAGACUAUCGGUUCAUAUGAAGCAUUAUAACAGGGGAGGACUCAUUCUCAUCUGUGACUACGUGGUGAGACUGUAGGUUCAUAUGAAGCAUUAUAACAGGGGAGGACUCAUUCUCUUCUGUGACUACGUGGUGAGACUGUAGGUUCAUAUGAAGCAUUAUAACAGGGGAGGACUCAUUCUCUUCUGUGACUACGUGGUGAGACUAUAGGUCCCUAUGAAGCAUUAUAACAGGGGAGGACUCAUUCUCAUCUGUGACUACGUGGUGAGACUAUCGGUUCAUAUGAAGCAUUAUAACAGGGGAGGACUCAUUCUCAUCUGUGACUACGUGGUGAGACUGUAGGUUCAUAUGAAGCAUUAUAACAGGGGAGGACUCAUUCUCUUCUGUGACUACGUGGUGAGACUAUAGGUCCCUAUGAAGCAUUAUAACAGGGGAGGACUCAUUCUCU